AGCUCUUUCACACACGACGAUSAUGACGGUAGUGGGAGAAGAAGCCCCGGCUAACUUCGUGCCAGCAGCCGCGGUAAUACGAAGGGGGCUAGCGUUGUUCGGAAUUACUGGGCGUAAAGCGCACGCAGGCGGUUCGGUCAGUCAGAAGUGAAAGCCCCGGGCUUAACCUGGGAACUGCUUUUGAUACUGCCGAGCUUGAAUCACGGAGAGGGUAGUGGAAUUCCGAGUGUAGCGGUGAAAUUCGUAGAUAUUCGGAAGAACACCAGUGGCGAAGGCGACUACCUGGCCGUCGAUUGACGCUCAUGCGCGAAAGCGUGGGGAGCAAACAGGAUUAGAUACCCUGGUAGUCCACGCCGUAAACG
rnacentral:rRNA from 1 species